GACGAACGCUGGCGGCGUGCUUAACACAUGCAAGUCGAACGGUGAAGCGCUUGCCUUUUUGGUGGGUGUGGAUGAGUGGCGAACGGGUGAGUAAUACGUGAGUAACCUGCCCUCUUCUUCUGGAUAACCUCAUGAAAGUGGGGCUAAUACGGGGUAUUCCGGGUCUGUCGCAUGGCGGGUUUGGGAAAGAUUGCGCCUUUGGGUGUUUUCGGUGGGGGAUGGGCUCGCGGCCUAUCAGCUUGUUGGUGGGGUGAUGGCCUACCAAGGCGGUGACGGGUAGCCGGCCUGAGAGGGUGGACGGCCACACUGGGACUGAGACACGGCCCAGACUCCUGCGGGAGGCAGCAGUGGGGAAUAUUGCACAAUGGGCGCAAGCCUGAUGCAGCGACGCCGCGUGAGGGAUGGAGGCCUUCGGGUUGUGAACCUCUUUCGCCAGUGAAGCAGGCCUGCUCCUGUGUGGGUGGGUUGACGGUAGCUGGAUAAGAAGCGCCGGCUAACUACGUG
rnacentral:rRNA from 1 species